AACGCACAUUGCGCCCUUUGGUAUUCCGAAGGGCAUGCCUGUCUGAGCUAAAACAACUGGUGGUGUCUGCCAAAUGAAUAAUUUAUUACAAAACUUGACCUCAGAUCAGGUAGGGAUACCCCCUAAACUUAA
rnacentral:misc_RNA from 1 species